AUCAGGUCAACAGAAAGGUAGUAGGGUUUACUUUCAAAGCUGUAAGUUCCCUCCUUUCAUCCCCACUAUCAGUAACGUGCAGCAUCCCUCGAAGCCACUCGGGUGCUUUCAUCCCCAACGAUGGCGACGCCCAGCGCCGUUUUCCGUGCGCAAUUUACAUCUCCUUUCGACGCAGACUCAACGACUCGUUACAGUUGACGCUUUCAGUGUUCCUACGUUACGUCAAUAAAACUCCACGAGGAAAUUCAGCAGUCACUCCAAAAAGUCAUAUGAAAUUCUACGUCCAUUCGAUUCUGAUUUCAAAGAUGAAGAGAGAAAGGCGCAGUUCGAUGGGAAGAAUUUCGAAAGAUUAAAGAUAUGGCGUUUAAUGUUCAACUCGAUAUACAUCUAAAUUUCCGAGGUACAGGAAUAUAAAGGAAGCGAAUAAAAUGGUCCCCCGAUUUGUGAAGGAGAGUAAGAGAGACACACACACACACAAAGAGAAAAAGAGAGAGAAAGAGAGAAAGAGAGAAAGAGAGAAAGAGAGAGAGAGAGAGAGAGAGAGAGAAGAGAAGAGAUAGGGAGAAGAAAAUGGACAGAGAAGCAAAGGAACGAAAAGCAAUGUACGAACGAGAGACGGACGGAUACACGAUGAAAAGAGAGAGACGAAGAAAGAUACCGGCUGGCAAGCAGAUGGUAGCCUCGUUUAUUGGUUUACUCGUCGGCUCGCUGCCCCUCCGGCCAUGAAACGAGACUUUAGAACGAGUGUCGUUUCUCUUUGUAGCAGAGAGAGUGACCCGGCGACCUUCGACGGAAAUCGAUGAAUGACGAGAAUGGAUUCAGUGACUCGAUCGAAGCAGGAUACCAUCGAUGUAGAACGCAUCUUUUUACCUUCCAUACAUUCAUCGAACGUUCAUUCAAGAAGGGGACGAAGAGAAGACGAGGAGAACGAUAGUGGUGGAUAUAGUAGCUGACAUUAAGAGAGUAUCUGUGUGUGUGUAUGUGUAUAAAAGAGAGUGGGAGAGAGACAGAGAGAGAGAGAGAGAGAGAGAGAGAGAGAGAAAGAGAAGUAUACGCACAGAUAUACAGACGCAGCCAUCAAAUAAUGGCGUCGUGGGGGCGGAUAGCCGUUGCCGGGUCGAUAGGAGGAAGGCCCUUGACCUGCAAAACUCCCGACUGCCGUCCCACCGUCGGCGUCGCUUUAACGAGGACCCUCGCUCAUUGGUUCCUGUAGACUUCUCCCUAGGGAAGAAAUCGUGAUUCACCUGCUUUAUUAAACGAAGACUUAGUCCAGACCUGAAGGACCUUAAUUUGCUUUAAUCCCAAUAAAUACUCGAGGGUGUUUUAAAAAGGAUUAACUUGGGUUAAAAGGUGAACGAACGGAAGACAAGAUAUGACCAAGUGACCUGGAAGUGCAAGGUGCGUUACGGCACGGUAUAUAAAACGAGCUGUUCAAGAAAGAGAAAAGGAAAGAACAUGAUGGAGAAGCCGACCUUGCUACGAUCAGCUGUGUCAUCCUUGGGCCGUUAACGCUCAGGUGGUUUCGAUCUCAGGGCCGAGCAUCAAUCAUCAUUGGUAGUGCAAGGCGUGAUGUGAUUAUUGUCACUAAGAUACUCCGCUACGAUAUAACAAUCACGAAAGUGUGCCAAGUGACAUAACAGGGUUUAUCUUUAACGGUGAAUCUUAAGCAUCAAAUAAAACAGACCUAAUAUUGUAGCCUCCCAUUAUGUUCUAUUCAUUGAGAUCCAGAUUAUGCUCUUCCUUACGAAAGAAAUAUGUUUGAAAGGGAUUUAGAUAUAAAAGAGAGAAAAAAAAGGGGAUGAAUAGAUGAAAAAAAAAAUUUAUCGAAAGUAUACAAUUUUUAUCUAAUCCGCUUACACAAAGGGAUAAUAUUGAUACAAAAUCUUAUAGAAUUUUGAUAUGUUUCAAUGCAGUUAAUGAAAAUGACACGAAUCGAAUAACACGAAUAAAUUAAAGGACAUAACGAAAACAAAGUAGAUUCGAUAUUAUUGUAAAAAAAUGAUAACACUAUACCUUACAAUUGCAAAAACGAAAUGCAUAUUUCUUUACGAAGAUAUUGAUUCACUUAUUAUCAUUUUCUUACUAAUUAGUAUUUCGUUUCUUAUCAAUGACAUUUAAAUAUAAUUUAAAAGAAUUAAGAAUAAGAGGCAAAUAUGCAUACGCAUAAAAUAACAGAUUAAUGCUGCCAUUGUAAGACAAUUAAGUUAACGCAAUAUAAUACAAUACAUUUCCAUUCUAUAUUAACAACAAAGAUAUUCUCGAAGAUUUUAGAAUCUGAUUUCAGAAGCGAGUUUAAUAACAGCGAACUCCCUCCCUGCACCACGGCAGGAUGACUCGACGAAGUCAAAGUCUGUUUUCGAAUGACUUGGCACUACGAAGAGAAGAUCUGGGCUAGUGAGAUCGCCAAUUUCAGUUGCUGCCAAUAACAUCUUUGGCUGAGAAUCGAUAUCGAGAUAGAUAGUAUGUGUAAUGCAACUGUGAUCGAUGCAAUAAGAAAUAAUUACCUCAGCAGAAAUAUUACAAUUUUCUUUAUAAUCGUAAGUUUUUAUUAGGAUAUUGAAGUUAACAAAAAUAACAUUUCAAUCAUAUGAUAUUAAUUUUAUCAUAAAAGUCGAGAUCUCUUAACGAAAAUUCUUGAGAUUAAUUUAUAAACAUUUGGUGAACGAUGAAGAGACGGAAGGAGGGAUAUCGUCGUGAGUCACAAUUCGAAGAUAAUCUCGAAAUAUAUUUUAUAUUUUCUUACGCGAUGCAAACGUUACGAGCCAGUUUUUAUAUUGUAUUAAUGUAAUGCAUUUUUAGGUUAAUGGACGAUGAUUCCUGAUCGAACACUGGGCCAACACAGAAGUCAAAAACCGGCACGUAAACGUAUACGUUUAAUAUUAUACAUAUAUGUCAUAAAUUAUAAAUUGAAAAUAACGUGCGAAGCGAAAAGACGAUGAUACAAAUAUUUAUUUUGUUUUUGUUAAAUGUAACAAACGAUUUGUGCCGUUUAUAACAAAGGCCCAGUUAAUGCUCUACAUCUACCCUGUAGAUCCGAAUUUGUUUGAUAAGAGGCGACAAAUUCGGUUCUAGAGAGGUUUGUGUGGUGCAUACAGUGCUACAGUGGUCUCUAUUCAACGAAAUUUUAAAAAAAGACUUCCUUUUCUUUUUGUUGUUGUUUUAUAUAUAUAUAUAUAUAUAUAUAUAUAUAUAUAUAUAUACGUAUAUAUUAAUUUUCUUGACUAAUGAUUCGAUGUUAUUCGGUUUUAAUCGACAAUGACAUUAUUAUGAUAAAAUACUGCGAUUUAUCUAUUCCAAAAAAAAAAAAAUUAUAUUUAUGAAUUUAACGAGCGUACAUCAUUUUCAAUGUUAAUAUACUAAAGCUACAAAUUUAUAUACGUCGAUUACAUAUAUGGAAGGUUUAUUAAGAGAGCCUAUAAAGACAAAGAUAAUCGCAACGAUAUUAUCUACAAAGAGCUAUUCUCAUUUACCGACUAGCUAAUGCGAAGUUGCAUUUAUUAACUUGUACUAAGAUAAGAUCGAUUAAAAACUUAGAUAUGCGUGGUGUACUAACAUGAGUUAGGAAAUAAUUAGAAAAAGAUGUAUAAUGAGAGAGAACAAAAAGAAAUGAAAAGUACAUCGCGGGCAGAAAGGAAAAAAGAAAUAUUAAAAGAAAGAGAAAAAGAAAAAGGAUAACAUUUCUCACGAGUAUAUUGACAACUAGAAAUAGUCGAGCAAUAAGAAUUUACAUAUAGAAUAAGUUAUGUUCGUAUCUCAACAGAUCUAAGAUCCUUGUAAAAUGACUUGUUUCAUGAAUCAUUUGCAUUCGUUUCGAAGCAUUUUCAGUAUGUGAAAGCUUCCAAUAGUUAGGAGAAAUGUCCCGAAGGUAUAGGAAUGAAUUAUCGUCAUUAAUUUCGUGGUCUUGGUGCACCCAUCUCAGGAUGCUGUCGAUGGUGAACUGUGUUAUGACUAGCGACCCGUUGCACAUCCACGCUUAGAUGCAUGGCAUUAGCUCGCACAUUCCUAUCGCAAUUUCUACAGGACGAUUCAAAAUCAAAUUAAUACCUUUAAAAUACUUUCAUAAGGGUUAAAACGAGAGAAAAUUUAUAUCGCUCUAUGUAAAUUAAUUAUAUAAAACUUAUAGAAUAUUUUUAAUAUCCAAAAUUUUAAUGGACGUUCGAUCAAACGAUAUUUACUCAAAUCUAACAAUAUCAAAAUAUUUUGUAUAAUCUUUAUAACAAACGUUUAUACAAUUUUCUUCCUUUAAUUUGUUUUGUAUCAAUCGAUGAAAGAUAAAUGCGGAAAAAAUUUAUAUACAUAUAUAUAUAUAUAUAAUUUAUUGUAACUUUAAAGUUAGAGAGAUUAAGAGAGAGAGAGAGAGAGAGAGAGAGAGAGAGAGAGAGAGAGAGAGAGAGAGAGAGAGAAGGGGGAGGGAGAGAGGGAGAAUAUUCAGACAGGAUAUUACGAUAGAUGGGUAUAAUUAAGAAAUUUUACGUCAAUGAUACGAAAGGUACAGGAUCUAAGCAUCCACGGCUUCAUCUUUCCCUUCAUCAUCAUCAUCUUCUUCUUCUUCUUCUUCUUCUUCUUCUUCUUCUUCUUCUUCCUCUUCCGUUACGUAUGUAUAUCUUCGUUUUCUAGAUACAAGCACGUGAAUUCUUGAAUCCUUCUGUAACGGUGAAGGUACGUCCAUUAAUCUUUGAUCGUACUCAUAUUAAAGUGACAUGCGGUGGUUAUGCAACGCCUAGUACCUACCUAAGUGCUAAUGAAGUGCAUACACAGGCAUAAUUACCGUAUGAGUGGACUGCCCACUUUUCACGCGGCGCAUAAUCUAUCGGACAAAAAGAAAAAAAAAAGAGAAAGAAAGAAAGAAAGAAAGAAGAAAAAAGAAUAAUAAAAAAAAAAGUAAAAAAGAAAGAAGAAAGAAAGAAAGAAAAAAAGAAAGAACGUGAGAGAGAGAGAGAGAGAGAGAGAGAGAGAGAGAGAGAGAAAGAAAAACGAUUUCACAAUGAUCGACGAAAAAAAAUAAUCAUCGGCACGAGUGCGUUCACUUAUAAACAGGACGAAAGUUAAAUAAAAAUAAAACGAUUUUUUCCUUUUUUUUUUUUUUUUUUUUUUUUUUAUUCAUUCUUAUGCGUACUUGCGAAUAAAUAACUACUAAACGUAUGCAUAUAUGUAUAUGUAUAUUUACUUAGGGCAUCUAUGUAUAUGAAACUUAUCAUUCUCGUUCGUAUAAUUUCCUUCGACACAUUCAUGAAAAUGAAUAUUUAUGAAGUUCCUGUUUCGAAAUUCUAGGAAGUUUUCAGUCGAUACUGAACCAAGAGAGGAAUUCAUUAGCUUGUAGGUAUACGUUUUUCCAAACGAGUUAAUAAUUCAAGAUACAUAAGCAAGCAGGAAGACCGAUAAAGAUAAAACGUUAAAUCAAGAACGAAUUGUUUUACGCGAUUCUUUUAACGGUUUCAAAGUAUAACAUUUACUUUUAAGAAUAAUUGAAAAUACUUUGGUUGAGUAAUAAUAAAUUUUUAAUUGAAAAAUUAUAUUACAAGCUUUAAGAUAAUUGAAAAAAAAAAAGGAAUUAACAAGGUGAUAUUGACAGAAUCGAUCGAUAGACACGAUCCAAAGUCAAUCGUCUUAUUUACAAAUCGAGUUCCGAAGGACUCGCAUAAUCUCGAUGAGAAUAAAUAUAUAGUAAGCAAAAAUACUUUAUAUAGGUAUAUAGGUAAGUAUAUAGAUAGUAUAUACGUACACGCUGUCAGUUGAAAUAAUCGGUUAUAAGAAGUUAAAUAAGCAAAUGGCAAUGAAGUUAACGAGCAACCGAGCUAGCAAGCGUUUUAUUGCGAAACGAACGUAUACCGUGAGUUCUCUCAUCUCGUGAAUCCUCUUUCAUCUUCUUUUCUCGAAGAGAUGAAAUAAGUAUCGUUCGGUGGAUCUAAUCUCUCAUGACGUUUCACCGGACGUCCACGUCGGCAAACUCGCCAUGCUGGAUGCCGAGAGGCCUCACCCUCACCGAAUCAACGACGACAACAAAGACAAAAUAACGAUAACGACGACGACGACGACGAAGACGACGACGAAGACGACGACGAUGAGGAGGAUGAUGAUGAUAAUGCUGCUGCUGCUGUUAUUGCUGCUGCUGAUGCUGCUGCUGAUGCUGAUGCUGUUGGCCGAGCAAACGGAUACGCUCGGACACGUUUACGCGCGUUCAGAGAUCCUCGCUCGGCAGAGAGUCUCCAGUCUAAAUCCACAUCCGAGUGCGCGAGAAAACAUAGGAAGAUUAAUGAUUUGCGUGACACGAGCUUGAUAUAUGCCCCUUGUUAGAAAGACUUCGAGGAGAGAAGUGUUCGGGAAACUGGAUCAAACUUUGUGGUGUGAUGGAUUGAGAACUCGUGGAUAGAAUAUCGUCAAAGUUAUAGUGUGCCAUACAGGUUCAUUUAUUGUGCCUUCGUUAGGUACGUCGAUCUUCAGCGAUCGUUGCUGAUCUUCUUCAGCUUUUGUUAAGUGGCACGAAGUUCGAAACUAUUAUUAUCCGUUGUUGUCUAAUCUUCGUUAAUUAUUUUCAUUUUUU